UUUCUCAACUGGUGGAAGAGUCGGCGAGACUCGCCAGAAUCUUCACUCCUCCUCAUUGCAUUACUGGAACAGACGAAUCCAAAUUAGUUCCAGACUUGCAAUGCCUUGAAGAUGAGGCGAAUGUAACGCUGAGAUGAAAGGAUUGCAUCGAUGGAUCGAGCGUUUUCGUUGGUUAGGUGAAAAACAAUCAGAUCAAAGUCGUGAGUUCCUCUAAUUUUCAAUCGGCGAUGCAAAUUUUUUAUUUUGUAUUUGAAUUAUAAAGUAUAAGGAGCUGGAAGGUGAGAUGAACAAGCCACUAAGAAAUAAAUCAGAGAGUUUCAAAAGGAUAAUGUUGCAUUUAUAAAUAUUUAUAGGAAACACGAAGAACUGAAAUGGUAGCAGUUCGAAUAUGGAUUGUUUAUCUUAUAAUGUAUCCAAAAAGGGAAGAAGAAAAGAAAAGAAAA